GUUAAUAGCUUCUAGGGUUCCGGUUUAACAUUUUUGAAGUUAAAUGACUGGUCCAAGAGAAGCAGCCAGUCUGUCAACAGCUGGUCACACGGCGGGAAAAAAGCCCGGGAGAU
rnacentral:sRNA from 2 species